rnacentral:lncRNA from 1 species
AGCUCUGGAUUCAAGUGCUUUUAUUAUUUUAUUAUUUUUAACUGUGUGUAUGUGCAUGGAAGUACAGUGUCCAAAGUGUCCGGAGACAUCCGAGCUCUUAGAGAUGUUACAAGUGGAUGCUGGGAACUGAACUCAGGUCUUCUGGGAAAACAAUAUUCGCUCUCUUAAUGCUGAACCACCUCUUCAGCCCUGGAUCCAAAUUCUUAAAUGCCAGCUCUUUUCAGUAAUCGUCUUCCAGCAAUAGCAUUCAGUCACUAUGGGUCUUUAGACAAGCUCAGUCUAUACACUUGCAUAUGCUGGUCCCAUUUGCCCAUAAUUUUCUCUUUCCCUUGCCUUUGGUUCCAAUCUAAUUCAUCCUUCAGGGCUGCAAUAAACCAUCAGCCUAACUUUAAUUCUGUGUCCUUGGCUCCUUUACCUGUAAAAUAGGAGUAGACCACAUGCCAGCCCAAGGAUUGUGAGGCUUAGACAUGGGACGCACUUGGGACGAUGCCUAGUGUACAAAGAAAACUGUGCCCAUGUUGGUCUUCAUAGAUCCUGUAAUCUGUGUCCCCACGUACAGUUUUGUUCUUCCCUGCUGGAGGGGUAUACACUUGAUACAGACAUUGCAUUCCCAUUUUGUACAUUUCAAGUGUAGAUUAUUUUGAGAUAGGUUUAGAUUUACAAAAAAAAAAAAAAAAAAAAAAGGUAUAAAAAGGCUGCAGAAAUAGCUCCGUGGUUAAGAGUCUUUGCUGCUUUUCCAAAGGACCUGGGUUCCGUUCCCAGAGUUCAGAUCAGGUGGUUCACAAGCACCUGGAACCCCAGCUCCAAGAGACCUGAUACACCUUUCUGCUUUUCUGAGUGCACAAACACAUGUGCACACACAUAAGCAUAAUUAAAAAAAAUCCUUAAAAAUCAAAAAACGAUCGUGUGGCUUUCAUUUGCCCUCCACUUACGUUCCCAGAAGUUAAUGGCUCAUGUGUGAUACCUGUAGCAAAACUAAGAAGUCAGCAUUCCUAUAUCACUAGUACAUGAACGGCAGAAUUUAUGUGGAUUCUCUCAAGUUUCUCACUUGUGUUUAUUUUCUCCUCUAGGAUCCAAAUCGGGACACCACGUGGCAUUUAAUGCAAGUGGCCUUCUAAUACCAAUGACAGGCUGUAUGCAUGAGAACCCUUCCCUGGCCUGCCAGACUGAGGCCAUUGUCACGGCCUCUGCCAUGCCUGUUGGAUCUAGCCUGCUUCUGGAGCCUUACGGCCCUCUGCCCUAGAGCUUUGAGUCUGAGAUACUAUAGGGUCCUGGGCUGCUGGUCAUAGAAUUUAUUUCCUGUGCAACUCUCUCACGGUCCUUUUGGUCAGCCACCUUCUCUUUGGCCUCAGUUUACUUACGUCUCCUCUGCCUUCCCCACAGCCCCCUUUCCAUCCCUGCAGCCUUACUGAUGAUUACUUCCAAUGCUUGAUCUACUCCAGGACAGGGACAGUACCAUCUUAUUCUCUUUCUUAUCCCUGGGACCUAAAGCACACCUCAUACCCACUGAACACUGAAUGGAAAUGGGCUGUCUUCUCACCUGUGUCCUCUGUCCCCUUUCGCCGAUCACAUAACCACCCUGGGUCUCAUUUCUCCUCAUCUGCAGACCGAGGAGGCUGAUGUGCCCACUGGCUUUCAAAUUGCAUUUUGAGAGCCCUACAACAUCUUUGGGUCCUAACUCCCAGCUUUAAUGAGAGCCAUGUUUACACAGCAUGUUGUUUUCAUACACUGUAAACACUGACCGUUCUGAAAAGUAUUUCUCUUAAUGGAGUUUGAAGAUUUGGCUGUUCAAAAAAGUUUGAGAUCCCGGGCUGAUUAUUGCGUUAUAUGUGAUGAUUGCAUAAAGGUGCUGCACGGUUUC